UGGGGAAUAUUGCACAAUGGGCGCAAGCCUGAUGCAGCCAUGCCGCGUGUAUGAAGAAGGCCCUAGGGUUGUAAAGUACUUUCAGUCGGGAGGAAGGCGUUGAUGCUAAUAUCAUCAACGAUUGACGUUACCGACAGAAGAAGCACCGGCUAACUCCGUGCCAGCAGCCGCGGUAAUACGGAGGGUGCAAGCGUUAAUCGGAAUUACUGGGCGUAAAGCGCACGCAGGCGGUUGAUUAAGUUAGAUGUGAAAUCCCGGCUAGCCUGGAUGGCAUCUAAGACUGGUCAGCUAGAGUCUUGUAGAGGGGUGAGAAUUCCAUGUGUAGCGGUGAAAUUGCGUAGAGAUGUGGAGGAAUACCGGUGGCGAAGGCGGCCCCCUGCAGCAAAGACUGACGCUCAGGUGCGAAAGCGUGGGAGCAAACA
rnacentral:rRNA from 1 species